rnacentral:lncRNA from 12 species
GGGGGAAGUGUGAAAUUUAAAACAGAUGUUUUAGAUUCCUAUAGUAUCUAUGUGCUUAAAUAAAUGUUAUUAGUCAGACUUCACUGCCAGUGUACAUUUUAUGAGAACUGUCUAUUCGAUAUGGUAUGCACAGUUAUAAUAGACUAUUUCAAGGGCCCUCUGGCACACUGGGCCAUCCUUAGGUUCUGGUCCAGAUUGUUCUUAUUGGCGUAUUUGUGCACAUUUUUGAAUGUAUAAACAAACAUAUAACAACAUUUUAAAAUUAAAUUCCAAAACCUUUUAGGGAAAAAAAGUCAUUGGUCACUGUUGAAAGGGGUAGUCCCUGCAUCACCAUGAACGGAUGCACCACACCUCCAAUGCAAAUAGACAGUUUCGAACAUUCUGGUAGAGCNCAAAAAAAAAAAAAAAAAAAAAAAAAAAAAAAAAAAAACAUGAAUAAAGUUUAAUGUGUGAAACAAGUUUAUUUUGAAUGUGCGACCAGAAGUACCUGCACAUUGACUGUAUUAUUUUUUUUUUUUACACAAGCCCCAGGUGCUUGUUGCUCACUUUUAGCACCCCUAAAGAAACUAUCGCCCACGUUAUCACAGAGUUGCCACCUUUAAACAGACAAGUGCUGAAAUGAUCGCCAAGUUGGAGCUUUGCACCCAACAGCUAUCCAAAUCUGGUGAUUGGCGGGUGAUUAUCUCACUGUCGAUGCACUCCUCUAUCUCACACAUCUACAGUCAACGCGUGACAGAGUCAGCCAAAACCAAGCGCAUAAGGGGGCACCCAGGGGCACAGAUGCAUGGAAGCGUACGCACAUGUGCAGCCACAGGUCAUUUCGGCAACAUAAUACAUCCUCCAAGGAAAAUUUUCCAUGAACUGCACGCUUGCACGCAUGGUGUGAAUGGUGGUCAACCUGACAUAGCGAUAUAAAAUAAACUGAAUGUGCCUGUGGCCACAAGAGGGCUGAGAUUAUAUUUCUGACAGCAUGAUUGUCUAUAAGUGCUUAUUUCUAUCUGCGGUCAUAAUUAAUGUCAUUUCAGCAUCAGUUGAGUGGUUGCCCUGCCUCUGCUAAUGGACCAAAAUACAGAGCAGAAGAUGAAUUUCAGCAUGAAGAGUGUGAACAGAUUCAAGUCUGUGUACAGAAUGGAAGGCUUACUGCGUACAGAAGGUGAUAUACACUAAUGUUUUAGUGUUUCAAACUGUAGUAUACUACAGCUGACAGUCAAA